AGGUGCUGAGACAGAGGAUCAGAUCUGCUUCUCUGUGGCCUUAGGGUAGAGUUAACCCCUCAGGUCUACUCUGUAGGUUCCCAUUCAUUCCUCAUGCAUAGCAGCAGAAGGGACACUGACAAGCACAUCAGAGAGGGAAUUGCUUGAAAUAGAUUCUGGGGGGGAAGACCCAGUAUUUUUUUCUGCAAAUGGUCCAGUCUGCAGGUGUUCCAAAGACAGAGGCCUGUAAGAGGCUGGAGGAGAUGCCGAAUCACUGUGAAGUGUCCUAAUCAGUAUGCCAGGCGCUCCACCAGGACCCUGAGAUUCAAGAUACUGAAGAAUCAAGAAGGAAAAAGGCACUCAGGAAGGAAAAACCUUCAAAGAGGAGGAGAUAUUUCAGUGGGCUUUUGACAGUUCCAGAUGUACUGUUGUGUCAAGAUAAAUGCUGCCACUCAUCUGAGGUCCUUCUCUUCUGCAAGAAAACUGAUACAUACCUCUAAAGCCAAGAAAUAUCCUGCAGGUCCAGCUGCACCUGCACCAGGGAACUUCUCACCCUUUCAGCAGGUGGACAGGAAGCCCCAGGGGUAGAGACAUGCUCAGUGAAGCGAGUGACCUACAAUUUGAGGAUGGUGGCAAUCCCAGGCACCCCUGUGGCAUAACACUCCUCUGAGAGCCAGGCCCACAUGGGACUCACCUAAACAGGCACAAGACACGGCCUUCCUGCCAACCUGCACUUCCUCUGCAGGCAGCUCAAGAGGUGUUGAACUGAGGCAAAUGGAUCCAAACAAUUUCAAAGGGUAAAGUGCUGCAGUGACCUCACCUCUCUGUGUGUCCUUUUCCUCGAAGAUCUGGAACCUGAUAAUCUUAGAUCUUAGUAGUGCUCCAAAGUCUUCAAACAAAUGUUUCCUUAAAAUACAUUCAUCAAAAACAAUGGAUGGUAUGAGAUUUGUUUUUAACUGUCAAGAACUGCUAAGGGUCUGAGAUUUUGCCCUUCUUGCAAAUGAACAAGUUAUCCUAUUAUAGUUCCAGACACGUUGGAAGAUAAGAGACUCCUGAGUCAGAUGCAAAGGUUGACUUGUUACUCAUGGCAAUAGCAGUAGCCCGUGUCAUCGUCCUCUUGACCAGCCUCCAGACCCCAGGUCCCACAGGGUGAUGUGGGUGAUGUGGGUGAUGUGGGCGGUGCCUGCAUGUGCAAAUGGCUGUUGACAAGAAACCCUGCACUCAGGAAACCCCAAUCUUUUAUAAUGGUCUCUGCAAUUCUGCCUGACCUUUGCCCCAGAAAGGUCUAUUAUUGCUAUGGAAACAAGCUUGAAAAAGUCAUCCACAUCAAAAGUUGUCAGUGUAUCAUUGCUCACGAGACAUGCAGAAAUGCAAGAAACCCAUAGGUAUUUGUGUCUCAACAAGAGCCACUCCUGCUUCAUUCUUAUACCAUCUUGGUUUCUGCUCAAUUUCCCAUGAGUUCAUCACUACUUCAGCCACUUUGAUUCCUCUGACCGGCAGGCACUGGAAUCAAUCAACUCCAUUUGGUUUGUCUCAUACAAGAUUUAGUUAAGACUGGUAUAAAUAGGAGCCCAAACAACAAGAUGAGGUCAACUUGAAGUAUUAACUUCAUACAGUUGAGAAGCAGAGUAUGGAUGAAGAUAGAGGUGGAGGUGGAGGCUAGAGGCAGAUGAGAAAGGAUCCUGUUUGCUUCAUUCUGCUUCCAGCUUAUCUACUGGUGCUAAAGAGCCAUCAAAGUAUUUAGGAGGAGACUUAUGCAGCUGAUGUGCAUGUGGAGUGAUUCUCCAGGGUGGCCAAAGGGUUAACAACUUAGAGAAGAUGCAAUUGAGAGAGACCUAGUUCUAAUGACAUUUUAAUAAAGCAUUUGAUAAACACUGAAGCUUGAAGAGAGUAGACUUUAAACAUAUAUAGGAGGUAAAAUUGAGAGAACCUGUAAGAGAAGGGAAUAGGAGGG